UUCAGAAAUAGUGUGCAGAAAGAGGAAUGAGUUUAAGGCGAGGAUGGCAAGAAGGUAGAUAGUAUGGGAUGUCUGACGGUGUUUGCUUCCCAGAAAUCCCAUCUUUGGCAUGAAUCAAACUUUGAUUGCUGAGAGUGAGGAAGAUGAGUACAGGAGGCACAAGGAGCCAGAGUGAAGGCACAAACUUUUACAGGGGUGAUUAUAGCUGGUUGCCAUGGAAAUAACCAGGAGGCACCCAAUUCUGCAUUAUGACUUCACUGUGGAUCACAAGCGGGAGGAUGAAGAGCGACUUGCUAAUUAAUGGAGCGCCAGGGGACAGUUUAAAGAGAAAAUCGCACACAAGAUAAAUGCAGGUUUUCCAGGCUCUCAGAAAAAAUGAUCGUAGUUUCAAGAGAAGACAGCUGUGGAAGAGCAUGCUCUCUCCUCUGUGAUCUGUCCUGAGCUGAGUUCCUCAGGCCAGUUUGCUCAACUCUUCUGAGGGAGGUGGAUAUAGAACAAAUGACAAAGUUCUCAGUCACAUUAAAUUCAAGACAUGAAAUGAUGCAACUCAGGACCCAAAAGAUGUUGAUGGCCUUCCCAGACUAUUCUCACUCUGCCUCUGUUCCUGGUUGUUUGGGUUUAGGUUCCUGGAAGUAGACAUUUUUGGGGAGAUGGUACCACUGCCCUUCUGGGCCUUUCCUCUUGUCACCUUUCACUCUUUGUAGCUUUCCCUUCACAAAACACAAACCCACUGUUGCCUCCUUUUGGCCUCUUUCUCUCUCUUCUUUGCAUCCUGGCCCACUUGCAAGGGCAACUAUUUCUUAAAAAAAAAAAAAAGCUUAUUUAUUUAUGUAUUCAAUGUAUGUGAGUGUGAGAAGGAGAAAGAGAGUCACCCUCAAUAGGAUCUUCACACAGUGAUCCACCUCUGGCCUCAACCAGCUAGGAUCACAUACCCAGGAAACACAGGGAGACCUUGGGAUGCAAACUGGACCUUCUCAUAUGGCUUCAGCACCGUGAAGCUCUGUUACUACCAGGCCGCCAUGACUGGGCAAGGCCAUCUCUUUUUGAAAACUUUUUAAAAAAGUUGCCAGA